rnacentral:lncRNA from 1 species
AUGAGAAGCAGCACUCACUGGAAGCACAGCACAGAAGCCAAAGGAACCAUCUACUCCUCCGGCAUUGCAACUGCAAGUAAUGUCUACCUGUGCCACCGUAGAAACGGACUUCUAACAUUGUUUUUCAAAGGUCUCCACUUCUCUCAAAGUCUGGCAAAUGUUGGAACUUUCCUGUUCUAUGUAGGAGCCUGCAUGCCCCAUGUCUCUCCUUUGCUAAAUCUUUGGGAACACACCUUGCUUCAGAGGACAUGGCAGGCUGGAGUAUUAACUGGAGCUGUGACAGAGCAGGCUUUCAACACAGUGUGGACAGUGCCAUCACCUAUGCUUACAACAUUUUU